rnacentral:misc_RNA from 1 species
GAAAUGCGAUAAGUAAUGUGAAUUGCAGAAUUCCGUGAAUCAUCGAAUCUUUGAACGCACAUUGCGCCCUCUGGUAUUCCGGGGGGCAUGCCUGUCCGAGCGUCAUUGCGAACCCCUCAAGCACGGCUUGUGUGAUGGGCCCUCCCGCGUCUUGGUCGUCAAGACGGGCCCGAAAUGCAGUGGCGGCUUCGCGGUUAUCCGAUCAGCCAGAGCGUAUGGGGACUCUCUCUCUUGUCACGCCCGCGGCGCGGACCGACGCCUGUCGACCUUUAUUCAUCUUCUCUCGGUUGACCUCGGAUCAGGUAGGGAUACCCGCUGAACUUAAGC